UACGAAGGGGGCUAGCGUUGUUCGGAAUUACUGGGCGUAAAGCGCACGUAGGCGGACUAUUAAGUCAGGGGUGAAAUCCCGGGGCUCAACCCCGGAACUGCCUUUGAUACUGGCAUUCUCGAGUCCGGAAGAGGUGAGUGGAAUUCCGAGUGUAGAGGUGAAAUUCGUAGAUAUUCGCAAGAACACCAGUGGCGAAGGCGGCUCACUGGCCCGGUACUGACGCUGAGGUGCGAAAGCGUGGGGAGCAACAGG
rnacentral:rRNA from 1 species